rnacentral:rRNA from 1 species
UACGAGGGGGGCAAGCGUUGUUCGGAAUUAUUGGGCGUAAAGAGCGUGUAGGCGGCCAUACAGGUCAGCUGUGAAAACUCGAGGCUCAACCUCGAGACGUCGGUUGAAACCGUAUGGCUAGAGUCCGGAAGAGGAGAGUGGAAUUCCCGGGUGUAGCGGUGAAAUGCGCAGAUAUCGGGAAGAACACCUAUGGCGGAAGGCAGCUCUCGUGGGACGGUACUGACGCUGAGACGCGAAAGCGUGGGGAGCGAACAGG